AGGCCAGAAGCUCAACUGGACGAGCAAUGCUCUCCAAAAGCAAAGGAUGCAGGUUCGAGUCCUGUCUGGCCUG
rnacentral:tRNA from 1 species